rnacentral:rRNA from 1 species
AGUGAACGCUGGCGGUAGGCCUAACACAUGCAAGUCGAACGGCAGCACAGUAAGAGCUUGCUCUUACGGGUGGCGAGUGGCGGAUGGGUGAGGAAUACAUCGGAAUCUACUUUUUCGUGGGGGAUAACGUAGGGAAACUUACGCUAAUACCGCAUACGACCUACGGGUGAAAGCAGGGGGUCUUCGGACCUUGCGCGAUUGAAUGAGCCGAUGUCGGAUUAGCUAGUUGGCGGGGUAAAGGCCCACCAAGGCGACGAUCCGUAGCUGGUCUGAGAGGAUGAUCAGCCACACUGGAACUGAGACACGGUCCAGACUCCUACGGGAGGCAGCAGUGGGGAAUAUUGGACAAUGGGCGCAAGCCUGAUCCAGCCAUACCGCGUGGGUGAAGAAGGCCUUCGGGUUGUAAAGCCCUUUUGUUGGGAAAGAAAAGCAGCAGGUUAAUACCCCGCUGUUCUGACGGUACCCAAAGAAUAAGCACCGGCUAACUUCGUG